rnacentral:rRNA from 1 species
CCCUAUGGGGUGCAGCAGGCGAGAAAACUUUGCAAUGUGCGAAAGCACGACAAGGUUAAUCCGAGUGAUUUCUGCUAAAGAAAUCUUUUGUUAGUCAUAAAACCACUGACGAAUAAGGGGUGGGCAAGUUCUGGUGUCAGCCGCCGCGGUAAAACCAGCACCUCAAGUGGUCAGGAGAAUUAUUGGGCCUAAAGCAUCCGUAGCCUGUUCUCUAAGUUUUUGGUUAAAUCUAUGUGCUCAACGCAUAGGCCGCCGAAAAUACUGAAGAGCUAGGGAGUGGGAGAGGUAGACGGUACUCGAUAGGAAGGGGUAAAAUCUUUUGAUCUAUCGAUGACCACCUGUGGCGAAGGCGGUCUACCAGAACACGUUCGACGGUGAGGGAUGAAAGCUGGGGGAGCAAACCGGAUUAGAUACCCGGGUAGUCCCAGCUGUAAACGAUGCAGACUAGAUGAUGCAUUGGCAUAUAGCCAGUGCAGUAUCUCAGGGAAGCCGUUAAGUCUGCCGCCUGGGAAGUACGUACGCAAGUAUGAAACUUAAAGGAAUUGGCGGGGGAGCACCACAAGGGGUGAAGCCUGCGGUUCAAUUGGAGUCAACGCCAGAAAUCUUACCCGGAGAGACAGCAGAAUGAAGGUCAAGCUGAAGACUUUACCAGACGCGCUGAGAGGAAGUGCAUGGCC